rnacentral:pre_miRNA from 1 species
GUUGCUGAGGGAGAGGCAGUUAAGACUUGCAGUGAUGUUUAGAUAAUUUAUUACAUAAACAUCACUUUAAGUCUGUGCUAUUUCUCUCCUCACUGU